rnacentral:lncRNA from 1 species
AUGUACAAGUGGCAGUGCUGUCCCUUGCAUGGAGCUGCCCUGCAGGGGGAGGAGACCAGGACACCACGGCACAGCUGCUGCACCUCCUGCAGGGCCCACGAUGUGGCUCGGAGCCCUCACCCGGUCCAGUGCCACGUAUGGCCGCCUCCUCCCUGGAUGGGGGAAGCCCUGGAGUGUGGGUGCGCAAAGGGGUGCUCCCCUUCACUGCCGUCUCUUCCAGCUCCAGCCCCAGCCACCCCCAGGGACAGCGGGAUGACAACGGCCCCUGUCAUUGCCAGCUGGAAGUCCAUCCUGGUGGGCGUGGUGGUGGCUACACUGCUGCUGCUGCUGGUGGUCCUCUCCACGGUCCUGGGUCUCAGGAAAGCCCGAGCGAGAGUCGGGAAAGGUGAGGCUGACUCCUGGCCCGGCUGCAGUGGCUUCUCAGGCCGGAAGGAGCCCAGCGGCGCCGAUCAGCAGGCGACCCCUGAUGAGGACCCAGCAGCCAUCCACUACGUCUCCCUCACCCACCUAAGCCACUGCGGCUCUGAGCACCCUGUCUACGCCAACGUCCACCCCGACUCGAAGCCCGAAGUGGACGCCCAGCUCUCUGUGGAAUACACCAGCGUCACUGGGAGCAAACCUCCAGUCCUGCAAGUCGGCUGCCCUGGAGGGAGUGCCUCUGAGCUGCAGGCAGAAUCCCCCCAGCACUGA